GAGGACCGAACCGACUAAUGUUGAAAAAUUAGCGGAUGACCUGUGGCUGGGGGUGAAAGGCCAAUCAAACCGGGAGAUAGCUGGUUCUCCCCGAAAGCUAUUUAGGUAGCGCCUCGUGAAUUCAUCUCCGGGGGUAGAGCACUGUUUCGGCUAGGGGGCCAUCCCGGCUUACCAACCCGAUGCAAACUGCGAAUACCGGAGAAUGUUAUCACGGGAGACACACGGCGGGUGCUAACGUCCGUCGUGAAGAGGGAAACAACCCAGACCGCCAGCUAAGGUCCCAAAGUCAUGGUUAAGUGGGAAACGAUGUGGGAAGGCCCAGACAGCCAGGAUGUUGGCUUAGAAGCAGCCAUCAUUUAAAGAAAGCGUAAUAGCUCACUGGUCGAGUCGGCCUGCGCGGAAGAUGUAACGGGGCUAAACCAUGCACCGAAGCUGCGGCAGCGACAC
rnacentral:rRNA from 1 species